UGUUCUUAGUCUUGUUUCCUAUUCUAGUACUCUUGAUAUAAAUACUGAGCUGGGGGAUGGUGUUCAUAUGCAUAUUGGCCCAAGUUUUGAUAGCGUCUGCUUUGUGGCGUGCAUUAAUUAUUGUUAUGCUUAUAAUUAUUAUCUGGCGUGUAAAUCAAAUUAAUUAGACUCUACGAAUUCGUCUCGGUGUCCUAGGGUCCAAGCUUUUUGUUGGUUAGUACCGUUGUUCUUGCCACACACACACAUGCACACACACACAUGCACACACACACACACGCAACGCUGAG